rnacentral:rRNA from 1 species
CCUACGGGAGGCAGCAGUAGGGAAUGUUGCGCAAUGGGCGAAAGCCUGACGCAGCAACGCCGCGUGAAAGAGACGGGCUUCGGGGUGUAAAGAUCUGUUAGUGGGGACGAAAAAUGACGGUACCCACAGAGGAAGCACCGGCUAACUCCGUGCCAGCAGCCGCGGUAAUACGGAGGGUGCAAGCGUUGUCCGGAAUCAUUGGGCGUAAAGCGGUCGUAGGCGGCAUGUAAAGUCAGGUGUGAAAGGCGCAGGCUCAACCUGUGUCUGGCCCUUGAUACUUGCAAGCUGGAAUGCGGUAGAGGUAAGCGGAAUUCCUGGUGUAGCGGUGAAAUGCUUAGAUAUCAGGAGGAACUUCGGUGGCGUAGGCGCUUUACUGGGCCGUAAUUGACGCUGAGGCACGAAAGCCUGGGUAGCAAAUAGGAUUAGAUACCCCAGUAGUC